AUGAGAAGAUAUGGCUAUGUUUCAGAUAAUAAAUAGAAAAUAAUAUUAUUGCGGUACUUUGACCCUGUUGGUGCACACCCUACUGGUGAGAUUGGUGAACACUCACGUGGGGUCCCCAACACUCAUAUGUUUUUUCAGUAAGUUGCCAUUGGGAGCCUGCCUGAACUGAAGAGUUUUUGGAACUGACUACUUAACUAAAGAUGGAACAAGGGUACAGGAUUAUAUCCAUGUACAUUUAGCUGACGGAUACGCUGCUGCAUUGAAAAAGCUCCCUGUCCCAAAAAUAGGUGUGUCUAUGUAUUUUUUCCCUACUAAUUACAGUUUAAAGAAAUAUGCAAAAUUGAUACAUAGGGUUGUUUCAUUUGUGUCAAGCUGCUGCUGUAUUUGGAGGGAAAAGUUUGGCAACCCAAAUAUCUGAGAGAUUUGCAUAUGAGGUUUAUGUUUUUAUAAGACUUGUCUACAUAUUUAUUAAAAAUUUGAAUUAAAUGUUUAUUAAUUAAUCUGAUA